rnacentral:rRNA from 1 species
ACGAAGGGGGCUAGCGUUGCUCGGAAUCACUGGGCGUAAAGGGCGCGUAGGCGGCCGAUUAAGUCGGGGGUGAAAGCCUGUGGCUCAACCACAGAAUUGCCUUCGAUACUGGUUGGCUUGAGACCGGAAGAGGACAGCGGAACUGCGAGUGUAGAGGUGAAAUUCGUAGAUAUUCGCAAGAACACCAGUGGCGAAGGCGGCUGUCUGGUCCGGUUCUGACGCUGAGGCGCGAAAGCGUGGGGAGCAAACAGG